GCGGUCAGACUUGGCAUGCCAAGAUAGCCAUUGGAGAACUUCCCCAAAUAAAUACGUUGUUCUUCGGAUUGAUUACUUUGUUACCAGACGAGAUCAAUAUCUUAUUUGGUUUAUCUUGUUCUUGGUACAGGAUAUAAUGAAACACAAGGGAAGCCUGUUGAGGGCCAUACGAAAUCAUUAUCACCAAUGGCAAAUCAGGGCUUUAAUUUCCCUUCACAAAUUGAUUUUAGCCGUUCAAUUGGUCAUAUUCCUUUCCACUCUGAGCCAUACAUAGGUAGCUUAUUGGCUACUGCUUCUGGGCCACAAGAUGCGGUCUAAAGGGUUAAUGUGGCAAAGAAAUGCAUUUUGGAGCAUUUUGGAGCAUUUUUUGG